UUUGUCUCUGUUUAGAAUCAGUGAGCGCCAAGCUCGGUGUAUUCUGUUAUCAGUUAGUGCUCCUGUCUCAACUGUGUGGUUGUUCUUAAUCUAGUUUUCAUUCAAACCGUACGGCGGCUAGAAAAACCAACCGUGAGAGUGCCCUGCUAUGGCAGAGCUGGUUUCGAAAACCUUCACAGUAAAUCUGCAGAGGGAUGGCUUGUCCCAGCCGUGGGGACUUCGUCUCACCGGGGGAUGUGACCUGGGUGCGCCUCUGCUCGUCACAAGGUGUCAGGCCGGCACACCAAGCGACGGUGAGCUGAAAGUUGGAGACAAAAUUCGAAAAAUUGGUGACUACGAUUCCAGAGAUCUCCGUCACAAGGAUGCACAAAAUUUGUUCAAGAAUGCCGGAAACUCUAUCAAACUUGUUGUACAGAGAGAUUCACUAGCCACACCUGCAGCGAGCGGACGCACAAGCAGGGCUUCAAGUGUUGGCCCCUCUGCUUUGCCCUCUGCUCUGCCCUCGGCCCCCCACGAGUCCUACCCACCCUACAUCAUGGCCCCCCUCAACUCGGCCCUUCUGGACACCCCCCACACCCACCACCCGCGCCCCUUCUCCGGGCUCAGCUCACCGCAUCUCCAGGAAGUCCAGGAGGAACAGUAUACUGUCACCGAACAGCCAUACAGAACAACCCCCCUGGUGCUGCCUGGUGCCAAGGUGAAAAAAGACGCACCCCCCACAGAGUCCUACCUCCGUCACCACCCCAACCCAGCCAUGAGGGCUUCCCCCCACCACCAACUCUAUCUGCCCCACGACGUGCUCAUGAAGCAGAAGGUGGCCGAUUCAGUAAUCCAAAAAGUGGUUGGAGAGGACGCAGCAGCUAAACAGGUUGUCCACAAACAGUUCAAUUCACCAAUAGGAUUAUAUUCAGAUCAGAACAUCAAGGAUACAAUCCAUUCACAGACCGGCGUCACACCAAUUUUCAUUGACCUGUCCUUCCUCAAACAAAAAACCCAUGCACCCCCCAAAAACCCCCGAUAUUAAUAAAUUAUGCUUUUUCCAAAUUUCUAAAUUAAUUUUGUAACAACCCUCGUUUUAUAACUAUAUAUUUAUUGAAUUAAUAAUUUUCCCAAUUUGUACUAAAUUAACGGUUCUGAAUUGAUUGAGAUAACUUCCCUUGUUUUUACCGUAUUUAUUAAAUUUUAAUGAAUAAAUUAUUACCCCACAUACCUAUACUUAUCAAAUAUAACGUUCCCUAACGGAUUGUUAAAAACUAAUAUAUUUCAAUAUUUAUACCUAAUUUUGAUUGGAUGAAAACUAUGAUUAUAUAAAAACUUGAAUGUAUGGGUUUUUGUGAUAUAUUUAUUAUGUUUUCUUCUUUCAAACACUUGAAUGAUUUCAAUAAUAUUUAUUGUUCAUUUAUAAAAACAUUCUUAUAUUGUGAUUAUCCAAUAACUAACAUACAUGUCUUCUAUAUUCAAUACGAAACACUCUAUUAUAAUGUAAUAUAAUAAUAUAUCUCUCAUUCAUCUUUCUCAUAUUCUACAAUCAUUUUAAAUUCAAUCAAUAUUUUCCAAUUUUAUAAACGCCAUCGCGACUCAUUCAAUUUCAAUACUAUCAAUAUUUUACAAUUUCAUUCAUAAAUAUAUCUCAAUUCAACUCAUAAUUUGAAUCAUUCAAUUUCAACAUUAUCAUUAUUUUCAAAUUUCAUCAAUAAUUCAAUUUUAUGCAUUAAUAUAUUUUUUCCAAUUAUCACUCAUAAAUCGAAAAAAAAUCAAUUCAAAAUCACCUCACACGCCACCUCAUAACUGUGCAAUCGUUUGUUUCAUGUUUCUCAAUCAUUUUUCAUGUUUCAUUUUUCUUCUAUCAACAACUAUACUUUCUACCAACCACCUCUUUCCAUCAACAACUCCUUUUUAUCCACCAUUUCUUUCCAUAAACCAAUUCUUUUUAUCAACUAAUUAAUCCUUUUUAUCAACCACUAUACAUUCUAUCAACCACUUCCUUCCAUCAACCACCUCUUUCCAUCAACAACUCCUUUUUAUCAACCAUUUCUAUCCAUAAACCAAUUCUUUUUAUCAACUAAUUAAUUCCUUUCAUCAACCACUUUACUUUCUAUCAACCACCUCUUUCCAUCAACAACUCCUUUUUAUCAACCAUUUCUUUCCAUAAACCAAUGCAUUCUAUCAACUAAUUCUCUUCAUCAAUCACUCCUUUGUGUUUUAUUGUUUUAUCACUUUCAAAUAACUUAAAUGUGGUUCCUACGUUUUUGUUUCUCUGCUCAUCUGUCUGUUUUCUUUGACCGCUUGACCCCGCCCACCCUUGCCCGGCUUCUGACUCAAUAAACCAAUACUGACCCGAUGCGCUACUCUGAUUGGUCCUCCUCUUUCCCCGGCCGCUGGCCAAUCAGCAGCAACCUGAAGAAGACAGUCGUCUACGAUCCGGCCAAGUCGGAGACAUACAAGGCGUUGAAGGAGGACGAACUGGGUGACGUCAUACAGGAGGUCUCUGUGCCCGUACAACCCAAGGUCUUCUCGCCUACAAAGGCUGUUAACCCCAAGUUGAACUCCCUUGGUGUUUCAAACGAGGAAAUUCAGCAAAGCAACAGCUUCAAGCGUCUGAUGUUCAUGGUCAUGAAUGACGAAUAAAAAGUGCUAAAAAUGGUUGAAAAACGAACUGUAAGAAGGGGAAACGGAUAGGCGGUUGUAUUGUAAUAUAAAUAAGGAACGAAUGAUUCAAUCUUGUAAAAACGAAUGGCUAAUUACGUACUUAAUGAGAUCAAUAUAAGCAAAAACCUAUAUGUAGCCCAAAUUAUGAACAAAAUAAAUUUUUAGUCCAAAAGUUUUCAUUCAUUAACGUGAUGGAUAAUCAAUUUUGAAUGAACUCUGAUCAUCAAUCAAUGUAAUUAAAGAAAUAUAUAUCUACUAUAUUACCAACUGAGUAAAAUAAAUUAUACUUUAUCAUAAUGUAGGCUACGGUACUUUGUAUUAUACAUAGUAUUAUCCUGAAAAUAUAAUUAAUUAUAUACUAGCUCAAUCAAAUGCAUUAGCAAUUGUAGCUGAGUAUUUUGUACGUAUUUUUCUUAUUCAUAUAUAACUAGCUAUUCAAAGUAUUUUCUGUUCGAGUUUUGUUUAAUUUAUUCAUUUCUUGGUACAGUGUGAAAUCUGUUACCCCUGAGUCAAAUCUAGUCAAAUGCUUUUCACCGAAAUUAAUCUUCGUGAAGGGCUGCUUUAUACAUAAUUUAUUUAUUUAUUCACUACCAUAUAUUAUUAUAUACUUGUAGGUUGUUAUUGUGUUUAAAUUCACACAUAAUUUAUGUAAAUUUACUCAUAAAUGCUUUGUAAACUGCACACAAAACAUGAAUAGAUAAUUGGAUGUAUGAUAGGCUGUUAAUUUAAGAGAGUUAGCUGAUAAAUGUGAUGUUAUUUAUUGUAUUGAUCAGACAGUAUUCUAAUAGUCGAAUAUAAAUGAAGAGUGGAUCUAAUUUAUGUAUAAUAGUUUCAAAGUCAUUCAUAAAUAGAAAUGACUUUUGAGAAUUAUUGUAUCGAUGAGUAGAACAAAACAAAAAACAUUUAUUUAAAGCUAUUGAAGAAAUAAUGUCAAUAGGUAUUGUACUGUAAAUUAUUUAUAACUAAUGAAAGAAUUUUCUUCUGGGGUGGGUGAUUAUGAAACUGAACAUCGUUAUCAUUGGAAAUUUCAAGAGGUGAAGGUUUUGAUUGAAACUAAAGAUUUGUUUGUGGCAUGAUUUUUAAAUUAAUAAACUGAAAUUAAUGACAAGGAUUACGAUUCUCAAGAGAUACAAAUAUUAAAUGUGAGACGUGCUUAUUAAUUUAAAUUUGAUGGAUAUUUCAAAACAUUGUGACAAAAAUCGACUUUUGAACGAUCAUCACCCAUCAGAAUGAGUCAUCAAAUGUUGUUUAUCCAACACCUUCUACUAUUUCUCGAUAGAAUGUUAUCUCUAACACAGACUAAGUUCAAAAUUGAAUCGAGCCCGAGUUAUUUAAAGAUUAUGUUUUUUUUCUCUCGAAUGACUCAAAUCCAAACUGUGAGCCAAGUAUUUUGCGUAGGCGGUUGAACACAGCAAAAGGUUUGCAGCUCAAAUUCAGUUUAAAAAGUUUACUGGAGUGUUUUGUUACUUUUUCUAUUAUUUUUACACUCAAAACAAGCCAAGUCACAAGAAUGUAUGCUUCUACUGUGUAAUCUAUCAGUACUUUCUAUUUUGAAAAUAAAUAAACUAAUGUAUUUAUUGUCAA
rnacentral:misc_RNA from 1 species